rnacentral:lncRNA from 1 species
GCCCAAAUCCACUGUAAUAGUUNNNNNNNNNNNNNNNNNNNNNNNNNCCAGUGUUGUAGUAGUGCACUAUAUAGGGAAUAGAGUCCCAGUGUUGUAGUAGGGCCCUAUAUAGGGUCCCAGUGUUGUAGUAGUGCCCUAUAUAGGGUCCCAAUGUUGUAGUAGUGCCCUAUAUAGGGUCCCAGUGUUGUGGUAGUGCCCUAUAUAGGGUCCCAGUGUUGUAGUAGGGCCCUAUAUAGGGUCCCAGUGUUGUAGUAGGGCCCUAUAUAGGGUCCCAGUGUUGUAGUAGGGCCCUAUAUAGGGAAUAGGGUCCCAGUGUUGUAGUAGGGCCCUAUAUAGGGUCCCAGUGUUGUAGUAGGGCCCUAUAUAGGGAAUAGGGUCCCAGUGUUGUAGUAGGGCUGUGUAGACGGACUAAAGAGUCACUGCACACUCUGCUUCGGGUUUAGAUGGACUGUAGAGGAUCUCAUCCAGAAUCAUAUUUACUGUGUGGUAGUCUUGUCUGGACAUGUUUUGAGUUGAGGUAGUCUCAGUUAUUUUUCUCUGAUGCCUUCAACACAGCUGCCAUACAAUCUGUUUUAUUUUAUUUUUUACAGUGUGAAUAAAGUUUUGUGUUUUAUUGCAGAAGCGGGGAGAUCAACAGCUGAGGUACGUCAUAAACAUUGUCAGAACAAAUGCUUUCGGGCGAUGAAAAUGGAUGUCUGCAAUCAAAUGAUACACUACUGUUCCGUAUGAUGACAGCAGCAACAACUAAAACUGACAAUCUAUGAAUUUUGCAUGAGGCUUCCCCCCCUGUUCUGCAUUUCAUGGAUGAUUCUACAUGUCGGGGUUGAAAGUAUCAACGGUUUUGAGGCUUUCAUGCUUUCACAGGUCCCAAUUACUCUGAAACACAAAAGCACAAACCGCAGCUGUGUGCAAAGUCUGUCCAAUCAAAAGACUCCAACUGACAACACAACAACACAACAGCCUCGGCCACGCGAUUAGCCCAGGGUUGUCAUGCCAACGUCACAAAAAAAGGCUUGCGCGCCAAGACUGACUGUUUCAAAGGUUGAGCCAGGGGAGAAUCCUAUCCAUGGAGAAAAGCUUUCUCCUGAAGCCCUCUGUUCCCCCUGAGUUCCAGUUAUGUCAUCAGAGGCCCAUGAGGGAGUGCAGGUUCAUUUGUAUGCGGACAUAAAAAUUUA